CCUACGGGAGGCAGCAGUAGGGAAUCUUCCACAAUGGGUGCAAGCCUGAUGGAGCAACACCGCGUGAGUGAAGAAGGGUUUCGGCUCGUAAAGCUCUGUUGUUGGAGAAGAACGUGCGUGAGAGUAACUGUUCACGCAGUGACGGUAUCCAACCAGAAAGUCACGGCUAACUACGUGCCAGCAGCCGCGGUAAUACGUAGGUGGCAAGCGUUAUCCGGAUUUAUUGGGCGUAAAGCGAGCGCAGGCGGUUGCUUAGGUCUGAUGUGAAAGCCUUCGGCUUAACCGAAGAAGUGCAUCGGAAACCGGGCAACUUGAGUGCAGAAGAGGACAGUGGAACUCCAUGUGUAGCGGUGGAAUGCGUAGAUAUAUGGAAGAACACCAGUGGCGAAGGCGGCUGUCUGGUCUGCAACUGACGCUGAGGCUCGAAAGCAUGGGUAGCGAACAGGAUUAGAUACCCGAGUAGUC
rnacentral:rRNA from 1 species